ensembl:misc_RNA Metazoa_SRP Metazoan signal recognition particle RNA
GCCGGGCGCGGUGGCGGGCGCCUGUAAUCCCAGCUACUCGGGAGGCUGAGGCAGGAGAAUCGUUUGAACCCAGGAGGUGGAGGUUGCAGUGAGCCGAGAUCAUGCCACUGCACUCUAGCCUGGGCGACAGAGCAAGACUCCGUCUCAA